rnacentral:rRNA from 1 species
AUUGAACGCUGGCGGCAGGCCUAACACAUGCGAGUCGAGCGGAUGAAGGGAGCUUGCUCCUGGAUUCAGCGGCGGACGGGUGAGUAAUGCCUAGGAAUCUGCCUGGUAGUGGGGGAUAACGUCCGGAAACGGGCGCUAAUACCGCAUACGUCCUGAGGGAGAAAGUGGGGGGUCUUCGGACCUCACGCUAUCAGAUGAGCCUAGGUCGGAUUAGCUAGUUGGUGGGGUAAAGGCCUACCAAGGCGACGAUCCGUAACUGGUCUGAGAGGAUGAUCAGUCACACUGGAGCUGAGACACGGUCCAGACUCCUACGGGAGGCAGCAGUGGGGAAUAUUGGACAAUGGGCGAAAGCCUGAUCCAGCCAUGCCGCGUGUGUGAAGAAGGUCUUCGGAUUGUAAAGCACUUUAAGUUGGGAGGAAGGGCAGUAAGUUAAUACCUUGCUGUUUUGACGGUACCAACAGAAUAAGCACCGGCUAACUUCGUG